rnacentral:rRNA from 1 species
CCUACGGGAGGCAGCAGUGAGGAAUAUUGGUCAAUGGACGAGAGUCUGAACCAGCCAAGUAGCGUGAAGGAUGACUGCCCUAUGGGUUGUAAACUUCUUUUAUAUGGGAAUAAAAUGUUCCACGUGUGGGAUUUUGUAUGUCCCAUAUGAAUAAGGAUCGGCUAACUCCGUGCCAGCAGCCGCGGUAAUACGGAGGAUCCGAGCGUUAUCCGGAUUUAUUGGGUUUAAAGGGAGCGUAGGUGGAUAUUUAAGUCAGUUGUGAAAGUUUGCGGCUCAACCGUAAAAUUGCAGUUGAAACUGGCAGUCUUGAGUACAGUAGAGGUGGGCGGAAUUCGUGGUGUAGCGGUGAAAUGCUUAGAUAUCACGAAGAACUCCGAUUGCGAAGGCAGUUCACUGGACUGCAACUGACACUGAGGCUCGAAAGUGUGGGUAUCAAACAGGAUUAGAUACCCUGGUAGUC